UGUUAAUAUUUUAAUUUGUCUCUAGGUUGAAGGAAAGAAGCAAUUUCCUUGCAACUUCUGUGAAAAAGUGUGCAAGUCCAAAGGUGGCCUGACAAAUCACCAACGAAGCAAACAUGUGGCAGAAUUGGGCGAGAGAUCAUCUUCGUCUGAAGAUUUAAUCAUAUCAACAAAAAAAAUCGCUGGUUUAAUUCGUGACAUCGGUCGACACUUGAUUGAUGAAAAACUUUAUAAAGAGGAACACACAUCAGAGGUUUUUAAACUCCAACCAAGUGAUUCAUUUGUCAGUUUCAUCAAUCAGCUGUUAUUAAAAUUUAACAGAACAAAAAAAUCAGGACAAAUUUCUCAAAGAGUUUUAUGGCAAAACAAAUUCAAACUGGAAAGAAUAUUUUCAUCCGUGUGGAGAAAAGAAGAUUGUUUUUCUUAUGCUGAUCCAUCUCCCUGAACGCCUGAUUGGAUUUCUGAAGCUAAAGCAAGAUGACCAAGGGCAAGGAAUAUCUGAGG